UCCGAUCCAAUUUUGUGACUGUUGGGAUGGAAUGUAAAAGUACCCCGAAAAUCGCUGUAAAAGUGAAUUUCGAUUUUAUUUUACUUCGAUUAUCGAUGUAUUUUAUACAUUGACUUUUUCGAAGUAAAACUCCAUCGAAGUAAAUACGGUGUAAAACUCACCCCUUCUCUUCGUCUCCCAUCCUUUCUCUCACCGUCGAGCACGGCACCCUCACCGCCGUUCUGCUGGUUCGAAUGCCCUCGUCUCAGAACACAGUUCUGAGAGGACGCUCUCAGAUCUGCAGCUUGGUUCUUACAGGCCUGGGAGAUGUGGAAAGAAGGUGAGGGCCAAAAGAUAAUAGAUCCAGUGUUGGGUUGCUCAUAUCCCAAAGAUGAAGCGCUCAGAUGCAUUCAUGUAGGUCUGUUGUGUGUACAAGAAAGAUAAUUGUGGACAUCAUGACCAUGGGGAUGGUCAUGGAGGUGUGGUGGGAUCGAAUAAUGUGGCCAUCCACAUACAAAAAAAAAUUAACGGCUGUUAAUUUCAAACAAGUGUUUAAAAUACAUUCACAUUUACACUGUUUUUUCCAAACGUACAUCAGUGUAAAAACAAUACAGAAGUGGUUCAACUUCUGUAUUUAUAGAUGUGACCGUUCUUCAUUUACACUGGUGUAUUUUUGUAUUUACACCUCAUCCAAACGCAGCCUUAAUAAUUGGCCAGUUAUGUAUCCUCAGACUCCUGUAGAAGAUUAGAGGUCGAUAUGAGGAUAAGUCAUAGUUGAUUCCAAAUUUUAGACACAUGGAGAGGUGAAUAGCCUAUGGAGUCUAUGAACUAGUUUGUAUGAAGUUUAAGGACUAGUUUGAGGAUAUAAUCAUGUCCAAUAACAAGCAUGUUAAAGCUAUAGUCAUAACUAAUAUGUAAGUUGAAGCAAGCCAAGACAUAAAAAGUUAAAUUGAUAGUAUUGGCAGUUGGAGCCUUGAAAACUGUCAAACCCAUAAUGAGGUCCUCUAUAGCUAGAUCAAUGAAUGCUUUAUGUUGUACAAAUUUUCAUUUUCAUUUUACAUUUUAUGUUUGAUUGUUUUGAGUUCUAACGAGGAAAGAAAUCUACAAAGAACAUUUCAAGCCAUUGGACAUCUGAGGAAGAAAACAAAGUUUGUUUCUCUUCAACUAAAUAUAAAA